rnacentral:rRNA from 1 species
UACGUAGGGGGCUAGCGUUGUCCGGAAUCAUUGGGCGUAAAGAGCGUGUAGGCGGCCCGUUAAGUCCGCUGUGAAAGUCGGGGGCUCAACCCUCGAAUGCCGGUGGAUACUGUCGGGCUAGAGUGCGGAAGAGGCGAGUGGAAUUCCUGGUGUAGCGGUGAAAUGCGCAGAUAUCAGGAGGAACACCAAUUGCGAAGGCAGCUCGCUGGGACGUAACUGACGCUGAGACGCGAAAGCGUGGGGAGCAAACAGG